rnacentral:ncRNA from 2 species
UUCAUAACAGUUUUCCGAAUCACAUAGUCUAAGGCCUGAGGUUUUAGUCACCUUGGUUAUGACGUGUGAUCGCAGCGUCGCCUUAGGGCGGCCAACGGUAGGGGUGGAAACGCCCUUGCCCCCCGCGCUUGGAAAGGAGAACUGGUCACGAUAGC